GACGAACCGUACGAACGUUAUUCGGAAUUACUGGGCUUAAAGGGUGCGUAGGCGGCGCAGUAAGUUGGGUGUGAAAUCCCUCGGCUUAACCGAGGAAUUGCGCCCAAAACUACUGUGCUCGAGGGAGGUAGAGGUGAGCGGAACUUAGGGUGGAGCGGUGAAAUGCGUUGAUAUCAUAAGGAACACCGGUGGCGAAAGCGGCUCACUGGACCUCUUCUGACGCUGAGGCACGAAAGCUAGGGUAGCAAACGGG
rnacentral:rRNA from 1 species